rnacentral:rRNA from 1 species
AGAGUUUGAUCAUGGCUCAGAAUCAACGCUGGCGGCGUGCCUAACACAUGCAAGUCGAACGCGAAAGGGGCUUCGGCCCUGAGUAGAGUGGCGAACGGGUGAGUAACACGUGGGUGAUCUACCUUCGAGUGGGGGAUAACGUCCCGAAAGGGACGCUAAUACCGCAUGACGUUCCGGGUUUAAAGGCCUGGAAACCAAAGCCGGGGACCGCAAGGCCUGGCGCUUGAAGAGGAGCCCGCGUCCGAUUAGCUAGUUGGCGGGGUAAUGGCCCACCAAGGCGACGAUCGGUAGCCGGCCUGAGAGGGCGGACGGCCACACUGGAACUGAGACACGGUCCAGACUCCUACGGGAGGCAGCAGUGGGGAAUUGUUCACAAUGGGCGCAAGCCUGAUGACGCAACGCCGCGUGGGGGAUGAAGGUCUUCGGAUCGUAAACCCUUGUCGAACGGAAAGAAUGACUCGCGCCUGAAUACGGCGCGGGACUGACGGUACCGUUAAAGGAAGCCACGGCUAACUCUGUGCCAGCAGCCGCGGUAAUACAGAGGUGGCAAGCGUUGUUCGGAAUUACUGGGCGUAAAGGGCGCGUAGGCGGCCAUCUAAGUCAGACGUGAAAUCCCCCGGCUUAACCUGGGAACUGCGUCUGAUACUGGACGGCUCGAGUUUGGGAGAGGGAUGUGGAAUUCCAGGUGUAGCGGUGAAAUGCGUAGAUAUCUGGAGGAACACCGGUGGCGAAGGCGGCAUCCUGGACCAACACUGACGCUGAGGCGCGAAAGCUAGGGGAGCAAACGGGAUUAGAUACCC